rnacentral:rRNA from 1 species
UACAGGGGGGGCAAGCGUUGUUCGGAAUUACUGGGCGUAAAGGGCGCGUAGGCGGCCUUCUAAGUCGAACGUGAAAUCCCCGGGCUCAACCCGGGAACUGCGUCCGAUACUGGAAGGCUUGAAUCCGGGAGAGGGAUGCGGAAUUCCAGGUGUAGCGGCGAAAUGCGUAGAUAUCUGGAGGAACACCGGUGGCGAAGGCGGCAUCCUGGACCGGCAUUGACGCUGAGGCGCGAAAGCCAGGGGAGCAAACGGG